UGUCAUGCAAAGCGUCGCCUACGCGCCGCGGGGGGCCCGAAAAGUGCAUACCUCGCGUGCCUGGCUCCUUAGAUCAUCUACAGAUGUUUGCGAGGCACGAAUGUCCAUUCAGCAGCAUAGCGCCGACGUAUUUCUUGCGCUGUUAACGGUCCGUCCAGCCGCCGACGUUGGCCGGCGCGCGUGUGGCGUCUGUUGUUCCGUCUGCUACUAGUUAGUUUCGGUUCUCUGCUUUGGUCUCGCUCUGACUCUCACCUAAACGGGACAGCACGAGAGCGCGAGCGCAUUCCCGAGGGGCCUGCUGCUGCCCUGCUAGAAGGCCUGCCUGCUGCUGCCUGUGCUCUCUCCUCCGGCGGCGAUACCUCCUCUGCCUCCUCCGAGUGGCUUCGAUCGGAGAAGCAACGUUGUCGACGCCGCGCAAAAGCGAGCAGCGGAGCCAGCAGGAGUGUUAUAUCGGCGUCGACCACCGAGCAGUGUGCGCAAUGCGUUCGGUGACUGUCGCGGGCCGCCGGCGUCCGCGGGCGUCGCAGCACGCGCUUGGCGAGCGAAGCGGCCGCGAGCCCGGCGCGGGCUGACUCCUCCGGCGGCGGUGAGCUCUCUCCGAUGGUCCGCGAGAGGCGACGACGCGACGACGUAAAGUCCACGAGGCUGCCGAGCCACCAUGGGCAAGCUGAAAGCGUUCGACAUCGUGCUGGACGGAUACCGCAGCGUGUACCACCCCGGACAGGCGGUGCGCGGCAAGUGCGUGCUCGAACUCAAGGGUGACAUGCGGCUGAAGGCGGUGCGCGUGUUCAUGCGCGGACUAGCAAAGGUGCAUUGGACCGAGUCGCGUAGCACGGGCAACCGGCUGGGUGCCUACACCGAGCACUACAACGCCGAGAUGGAGUACUUCUUCCAGGGGCAGACACUUUUUGGCUCCGAAUCGGGAGACGGCAGGGACGUACUUACCGAGGGCCACCACGAAUUCAACUUCACUUUCCUUCUGCCGUCAACCGGCGUGACCACCUCGUUCGAAGGCAAGUACGGCAGCGUGCGCUACUGGCUCAAGGCCGAGGUGGAGAAGCCGUGGUCCUUCAACCACAAGACCAAGAAAGCCUUCACAGUCAUCAGUCCCAUCGACAUCAAUCGCAACGAAUACCUGACGGCAGUGGAGAGCAGUGUGGAGAAGACGUUGUGCUGCUGGUGCUGCACUUCAGGCCCCAUCUCACUGUAUGCUAGGACAGACCGCAAAGGGUACUGCCCUGGCGAGUCCAUCGCCAUCACGGCUGACUUUGAGAACCUGUCUGGGCGCACGGUGGUUCCACAUGCAACGCUGCAUCAGACACAGACUUUCCUGGCUGGCGGAAAGUCACGCUCACGACACUGUAAGUUCACCACAGUCACUGGCGUGGCCCUGCAACCUGGUCGCUCGGCCAACUGGGACGCCCAGCUGCUCAAGAUUCCUGCAGUGUCGCCCUCCAUCACCAACUGCUGCCUGAUUCACGUGGAGUACACUGUACGGAUCACCUUACAGAUUCCAGGAGCAUACAAUUUGUUUGUGGACCUUCCCAUUGUCAUUGGAACGGUGCCCCUUAGGUCCCGACCUCCACACUAUCGUGCACUGGGGCUGCCCAGCCAGCCACAAAUCCAUUUCUAUCCAGCUGCUCCUCCAUACUCAGAAGCAGACACGGAUGACGCACUGCCUGUUGAACCUCCGCCUACCUAUGCCGAGUGCAUAGAAGGCUCAGUGGACAUUGGUGACGACGAAGAUGGAGAGAUACUUGGAGACACACGGUUUACGCCAAUGUAUGCUUAUGUACAUGACUACCUGUACCACCCACCUCCAGCAUAUUCUGAGGUGAGGCAAGGAAACUAGUUAUCCACUGUGUUGCGUAUUGUGUGUCCACUUCGUGCACGACAGUACACUACUUGAAAAAAAAAGGAAAGGUUGACCCCCACCCAUCCCGCCAAACAGGGGGAGCAGCCUGUGCUUCCCAUUGAAGAUUUAUCCAGUGCAAAUAUGCUUCCAGCGUGGACUGUGCAGGACACUUUUAUGAAGUGCCGUGCUAUAAUGACCAAGGUGCAGCAACGAGGGACAGAGCAGUGGAGAGCAUAGUGCCUCAAAUCAUCUGUGUUACAGCUAUGUGUUCUUGUUUCACGUCUACACUGAUCAUCAUCGUCUCGUUUUGCCACUUCUCUGUGAGCUCAUGGGUCUUGAGUGCGUGUAACACCUAUGGAAUAUGAGAUGGACAUUGCCAAAAAUGUGCUCAGCUUCCAGCAAGGUGUCGCACUUCUGUGGCACUGCCAGUGUUGCCAAGCACCAACGUGUCAAGUCGGACCUGAAGUGCAACAGCACAUCCUCAGGCAUGGACCCACAGGAUGACAACUGUUUCUAGUUCGGGGCCUGUCACUUAUAGCAUGAUGUCUAAAACUUUGUAGACAGUUUGCUGUGCUUUGACUGUGCCAACAUGGUGCUUGCAACAAAAGUAGAGCAGCUUGUGAAGACAAUAGAUGCCAAAGUCUCUUGACGACCAGGGUUACUGCACAGUGUGCCAAACACUGAGCAUGCUUUCACAGGGCAAGGCUGCUGCUCAUGGGACAGAAAUGCUACAAGUGUUGUGCUAUGUAGCUUGCACCUUUUCCAAUAAACAAGAGGUGCAUGACUUUUUCUGUUCCCCUGGCA